CUCCAGCCAGGACGAAUCUGAGAAAAAUCAAAUAAUAACAGCAGAAGAGUCCCUGAGGAGAUGCCCCUUCCUCCCCGCAUCCCCUCGAGAGAUGCCUUCUUUUCUCUGUGUGUAGGAAAGCUGGCCCUGUGAGCAGCGUCCCCAGUACACAGCCAGGUUUGGGCACUAGAGAGCAAGUGUGACCUCUGCAGGAAAGUAACUGAAGAUCAACCCAAGGAGAAUCCCACAGGCCAUUUACCCGGAGCCUACGACCCCAGGAACACGAUACUAAAGAGAAAGAAAACCCAGCUCCCAAUGGCUACGAGAAGCGUGGAAUCUAACUAGGAGCCGUCGGUACAGGGACAGCUUCCUCUCCUCUUGAGCUGCAUGGGAGGUGUGAGGACGAGGCCUGACUCUCCGACGGGGAUUGUGGGCUCAGGGGUCCUCUCCUGUGCUUCUGGGGUUCAUUUGUCCCAGAACUCUGCGUGUCGGUGGCCUGGAGCCCAUCACAGACAAGGCUGUCAUCAGAGCCCCGGAUUCACUCCCCACCCUGUCUUCAGUUGACCCCGUCACACGGGCACAGGGAUACACCCAGUGUGACAGUCACCACAGUGCAGCACUUACUCAGUUCGUAGCUAGGAAGGCUCCUGUUUCGGUGACUCUGUGCACUGCAGUCUCAUGAUUCUGUGUGAGUGUGCGUGCGUUGGAGCAUCUUCCUAAGCACACUCUCCAUCCUACUGGCCAUGACACCUGAAAGUAAAUAAAA